CCUUCACUACGGAAUAGUCCCGGCAAACUGGGUUUAAUACCGUAUACGCCCUUCGGGGGAAAGAAUUUCGGUGAGGGAUCGGCCCGCGUUAGAUUAGUUAGUUGGUGGGGUAAUGGCCUACCAAGACUACGAUCUAUAGCUGGUUUGAGAGGAUGAUCAGCAACACUGGGACUGAGACACGGCCCAGACUCCUACGGGAGGCAGCAGUGGGGAAUCUUAGACAAUGGGGGCAACCCUGAUCUAGCGAUGCCGCGUGAGUGAUGAAGGCCUUAGGGUCGUAAAGCUCUUUCGCCUGUGAUGAUAAUGACAGUAGCAGGUAAAGAAACCCCGGCUAACUCCGUGCCAGCAGCCGCGGUAAUACGGAGGGGGUUAGCGUUGUUCGGAAUUACUGGGCGUAAAGCGCACGUAGGCGGAUUAGUCAGUCAGAGGUGAAAUCCCAGGGCUCAACCCUGGAACUGCCUUUGAUACUGCUAGUCUUGAGUUCGAGAGAGGUAAGUGGAAUUCCGAGUGUAGAGGUGAAAUUCGUAGAUAUUCGGAGGAACACCAGUGGCGAAGGCGGCUUACUGGCUCGAUACUGACGCUGAGGUGCGAAAGUGUGGGGAGCAAACAGGAUUAGAUACCCUGGUAGUCCACACCGUAAACGAUGAAUGCCAGUCGUCGGGUAGCAUGCUAUUCGGUGACACACCUAACGGAUUAAGCAUUCCGCCUGGGGAGUACGGUCGCAAGAUUAAAACUCAAAGGAAUUGACGGAGGGCCCGCACAAGCGGUGGGAGCAUGUGGUUUUAUUUCGAAGCAACGCG
rnacentral:rRNA from 1 species